CCUACGGGAGGCAGCAGUGGGGGAUAUUGCACAAUGGGGGAAACCCUGAUGCAGCGACGCCGCGUGGGCGAAGAAGUAUUUCGGUAUGUAAAGCCCUAUCAGCAGGGAAGAAGAAAUGACGGUACCUGAGUGAGAAGCACCGGCUAAAUACGUGCCAGCAGCCGCGGUAAUACGUAGGGUGCAAGCGUUAUCCGGAUUUACUGGGUGUAAAGGGAGCGCAGGCGGCACGGCAAGCCUGAUGUGAAAGCCCGGGGCCCAACCGCGGGACUGCAUUGGGAACUACUGGGCUGGAGUGCAGGAGAGGUAGGCGGAAUUCCUAGUGUAGCGGUGAAAUGCGUAGAUAUUAGGAGGAACACCAGUGGCGAAGGCGGCCUACUGGACGGUGACUGACGCUGAGGCUCGAAAGCGUGGGGAGCAAACAGGAUUAGAUACCCGAGUAGUC
rnacentral:rRNA from 1 species